rnacentral:rRNA from 1 species
GUCUACGGCCAUGCUACCCUGAACAAGCCCUAUCCUGCUUGAUCUCGGAAGCUAAGCAGGCCUGGUUAGUACUUGGAUGGGAGACCACCUAAGAAGACAAGGUGCUGUAGGCG